rnacentral:rRNA from 1 species
AGAGUGAACGCUGGCGGUAGGCCUAACACAUGCAAGUCGAACGGCAGCACAGGAGAGCUUGCUCUCUGGGUGGCGAGUGGCGGACGGGUGAGGAAUACAUCGGAAUCUACCUUUUCGUGGGGGAUAACGUAGGGAAACUUACGCUAAUACCGCAUAAGACCUUCGGGUGAAAGCCGGGGACCUUCGGGCCUGGCGCGGAUAGAUGAGCCGAUGUCGGAUUAGCUUGUUGGCGGGGUAAAAGCCCACCAAGGCGACGAUCCGUAGCUGGUCUGAGAGGAUGAUCAGCCACACUGGAACUGAGACACGGUCCAGACUCCGUACGGGAGGCAGCAGUGGGAAUAUUGGACAAUGGGCGCAAGCCUAGAUCCAGCCAUACCGCGUGGGUGAAAGGAAGGCCUUAGGGUUGUAAAGUCCGUUUUAGUUAGGAAA